rnacentral:rRNA from 1 species
CGGGUGAGUAACGCGUGGAUAACCUGCCUCACACAGGGGGAUAACAGUUAGAAAUGACUGCUAAUACCGCAUAAGCGCACAGUCUCGCAUGGGACAGUGUGAAAAACUGAGGUGGUGUGAGAUGGAUCCGCGUCUGAUUAGGCAGUUGGCGGGGUAACGGCCCACCAAACCGACGAUCAGUAGCCGGCCUGAGAGGGUGAACGGCCACAUUGGGACUGAGACACGGCCCAAACUCCUACGGGAGGCAGCAG